UCUCUCUCUCUCUCUACUAGCUUCUCCUUCCCUUUCCUCCCUGGAAACAGUGGGCCAUCCCACUGAGUCAGGUUUCCCAAACACAGACAUCCCCUCCUUCUUCCCCCAUGUUUGUUUCCUCUUCCCCACAGGUGCACACACAGGUGUAGAAGUAAGGCCUGGGCUAGUCUAUUGGCAUUUUAAGGUGCUUCCAGGACCAGCGACACAUGAUGGAGGUGGCACAUAUUGACUGAUCAAGCCUUAUAAUCCAAUGAGGUAAACCAAGGAUCUUCAUAUGAAUAUUUCAGGAGGAAUCUCAGAGAGAAAUGGCAUGAAAUAUUCGUUUGCAUGAAGGAUACAUUGUGGGCCCCAAUGGCACUAGGAGGAAAAAUGAAAAGAAGAAGAAGAAGAAGAAGAAAGGAUAGAGCAGAGAGGACUGACCCAGAGGACAAGAUAUAUUCAAAAUACACUCACCUCUUAAUCUCAUUUAUUUCUCCUAGACAUGGUGCUGAGAUUUGUGUCCUCUGAGACCUGUGUCACUCUCUGAUUAAACAGCAGCACUGCUGGUUUCUUCUCGUGUGUACCUGAGACACCUGGGAUAGACGUUAAAUUCUAACCUGGACUAGACUGAUGAAGCAAAAACAGAAAUAAAGAAAGAAAUAAAAAAGAAGGAAAUUAAAAACUAUA